CAGGACUUAAAAGUAUUCUAGUAGCCAAAUUAGCUAGUAGUCCUUAAUGCUUUUAAGCAUCAGAAAGUGAAAAAUAUCAAAGAACUAUUGCUGCAUUUGAGGAGCUAGAAUGAAGUUUGGUUUGGCUUGAGGAGAAUUGAUGACACCCAGGAGUAUGUGCUGGUUUCCAUUUGGUUCCCAUUCACAGGCAAACGGAAAGUACAUACAGCCUGGGGUAGGUCAGGCCAGCAGAUAUUUAAGUUGUUCAGUAGUGGCUGGGCCUGGGAAUAUGGGGUGAUUUUGAAGAAUUAAGUUCUGCAAAAGAUUCAAGAGUACAAAGCUGUCUUCAUCUUAGUCAAAUGCAGGCAAUCAAUCUGUCCUUUGCAUGUAAUAAACUGGGACCUUAGAAGUGAAGAUUAAAUAAUCUGGGAUGGAAAAUUGGUUGGAGAAGGUCCAGCCUGACCUACAUGUAGACAUUUCUCCUGCCUUGUCUUGUCUCUUGCUACAAAUCAUCCUGCAAGGAUUAGGUAACAGCAACUUCAAUUCACACACCUUUGAAGGAUGGUGACUUCAGCAUUAUCCACGGUGAAAUUCACAGCCAACAAUCAAUACGUAUUUUCAGGCAAAGAACCAUUAUUCAUUUCUGUUAUCGGACAAUCUCAGGCAGAAAUCAUAUCUUUUGUGACUGGAAUGCACAGCAUUUUCAACUGCUUUAUUACUGCAGCUGAGAAUAGGGCUUUGCGCUGACUGGCAUUUAGCUGCUGAAGUUUUCUGGACUGGCAUUUGCAUUGGGGUAUCCAGGACAAGUGUGGGUUUUGAAGGGAAGGGAACGAGGGGGAGAAGAAGGAAAGAAAGAGCCGUCUGCAGGAAAUGAGCCCUCAGGCAAGAGACUAAAAGUCACCA
rnacentral:lncRNA from 1 species